ensembl:snoRNA
UGGUCCAUCCUAAUCCCUGCCGGUCAGCCUGCGGUCUGCCGGGCUUCGCCUGUGGACCGGCGUGCUCUAGAAGCUUCACCCAGAGAAGUGAGUGAAUCUUCAGUAGGUUUGUGUCAGGGUGGCAUCUCGUCACUC